rnacentral:rRNA from 1 species
GACGAACGCUGGCGGCGUGCCUAAUACAUGCAAGUCGAGCGGACAGAAGGGAGCUUGCUCCCGGAAGUCAGCGGCGGACGGGUGAGUAACACGUGGGCAACCUGCCUGUAAGACUGGGAUAACUUCGGGAAACCGGAGCUAAUACCGGAUAGGUUCUUCCUCCGCAUGGGGGAAGAUGGAAAGACGGUUUCGGCUGUUACUUACAGAUGGGCCCGCGGCGCAUUAGCUAGUUGGUGGGGUAAUGGCCCACCAAGGCGACGAUGCGUAGCCGACGUGAGAGGGGGGUCGGCCACACUGGGACUGAGACACGGCCCAGACUCCUACGGGGGGCAGCAGUAGGGAAUCUUCCGCAAUGGACGAAAGUCUGACGGAGCAACGCCGCGUGAGCGAAGAAGGCCUUCGGGUCGUAAUGCUCUGUUGUUAGGGAAGAACAAGUGCCAGAGUAACUGCUGGCACCUUGACGGUACCUGACCAGAAAGCCACGGCUAACUACGUGCCAGCCGCCGCGGUAA